rnacentral:rRNA from 1 species
CAGGGAUUGCCCUAGUAACGGCGAGUGAAGCGGCAACAGCUCAAAUUUGAAAUCUGGCUCUUUUAGAGUCCGAGUUGUAAUUUGCAGAGGGCGCUUUGGCUUUGGCAGCGGUCCAAGUUCCUUGGAACAGGACGUCACAGAGGGUGAGAAUCCCGUACGUGGUCGCUGGCUAUUGCCGUGUAAAGCCCCUUCGACGAGUCGAGUUGUUUGGGAAUGCAGCUCUAAAUGGGAGGUACAUUUCUUCUAAAGCUAAAUAUUGGCCAGAGACCGAUAGCGCACAAGUAGAGUGAUCGAAAGAUGAAAAGCACUUUGGAAAGAGAGUCAAACAGCACGUGAAAUUGUUGAAAGGGAAGCGCUUGCAGCCAGACUUGCUUACAGUUGCUCAUCCGGGUUUCUACCCGGUGCACUCUUCUGUAGGCAGGCCAGCAUCAGUUUGGGCGGUAGGAUAAAGGUCUCUGUCACGUACCUCCUUUCGGGGAGGCCUUAUAGGGGAGACGACAUACUACCAGCCUGGACUGAGGUCCGCGCAUCUGCUAGGAUGCUGGCGUAAUGGCUGUAAGCGGCCCGUCUUGAAACACGGACCAAGGAGUCUAACAUCUAUGCGAGUGUUUGGGUGUCAAGCCCGAGCGCGUAAUGAAAGUGAACGGAGGUGGGAACCCGCAAGGGUGCACCAUCGACCGAUCCUGAUGUCUUCGGAAGGAUUUGAGUAAGAGCAUGGCUGUUGGGACCCGAAAGAUGGUGAACUAUGCUUGAAUAGGGUGAAGCCAGAGGAAACUCUGGUGGAGGCUCGCAGCGGUUCUGACGUGCAAAUCGAUCGUCAAAUUUGGGCAUAGGGGCGAAAGACUAAU